rnacentral:rRNA from 1 species
AGCAGUCGCCGCGGUAAUACGGAGGGGGCUAGCGUUGUUCGGAAUUACUGGGCGUAAAGCGCACGUAGGCGGCUUGGUAAGUUAGAGGUGAAAGCCCGGAGCUCAACUCCGGAAUUGCCUUUAAGACUGCCGAGCUAGUAGGUGAGAGAGGUAAGUGGAAUUCCGAGUGUAGAGGUGAAAUUCGUAGAUAUUCGGAAGAACACCAGUGGCGAAGGCGGCUUACUGGCUCAUUCUAGACGCUGAGGUGCGAAAGCGUGGGGAGCAAACAGGAUUAGAUACCCCGGUAGUCCCUGUCUCUUAUAC